GCGCCCGUAGCUCAACGGAUAGAGCAUCUGACUACGGAUCAGAAGGUUGGGGGUUCGAGUCCCUCCGGGCGCGCAA
rnacentral:tRNA from 1 species